GAGUUUGAUUAUGGCUCAGGACGAACGCUGGCGGCGUGCCUAAUACAUGCAAGUGGAACGCAUCUUCUCUCCCGUUUCUUCGGAAACACCUGAGAAGAUGAGUCGCGAACGGGUGAGUAACGCGUAGGUAACCUGCCUCAUAGCGGGGGAUAACUAUUGGAAACGAUAGCUAAUACCGCAUAACAGUAUUUAUCGCAUGAUAGAUGCUUGAAAGGAGCAACUGCUUCACUAUGAGAUGGACCUGCGUUGUAUUAGCUAGUUGGUGGGGUAACGGCUCACCAAGGCGACGAUACAUAGCCGACCUGAGAGGGUGAUCGGCCACACUGGGACUGAGACACGGCCCAGACUCCUACGGGAGGCAGCAGUAGGGAAUCUUCGGCAAUGGGGGCAACCCUGACCGAGCAACGCUGCGUGAGUGAAGAAGGUUUUCGGAUCGUAAAGCUCUGUUGUAAGAGAAGAAUGUGUGUGGGAGUGGAAAAUUCCAUGC
rnacentral:rRNA from 1 species